CUAAAACAGAAAAGUGAGCGCACACCUACUCCAUAUACGCAGGUAGUUCUGCCGCUGGCGAGACUGCAGCAUCCUUUCCACCCACUGCCUGUGUCUCAGCUCCGAGGCAAUGGUGACCUGGCCAGACACGUGGUGACACUGCUUGCCGAUGCUUUGGAGCACAACCAGCACUUCCAGCACAAUCCUGGGACAGAAGAGGGUAGGAAAGGGUGUGCUGCAGAGCUCACGGAGCAGCUGGGGCCACCUGCAAACAGAGCCAGACUUGGAGCAGGCAUUGUGAUCCUCACCUGUACCUCACUCUCCUGUACCUGCAAGGCUGCGGCUUUCUGGGAGCCAGAACUAGCUGCGUAUCACUGGUGGGUCUGCAGGGACAACCGUGACAUGCGGCAAGUGUUAAUUAAAUACACUGAAUUGUGGCAAACAGAAUGUGACAUUCACAGCCUCAUCAGAUGUGCCACGCUUGCACAGAGAUUGUCAAAACUGAUCUCAUAAUUCCUCUUGGAGUAGUAACAGUGAGAUUCUAAGACUACUUUAUAAAAUCUAAAACAUAGAAAAUGUCUAAGUUUGCUAUGCUAAUCUGCAGAAUCAAUGUUUUAACAGUUGUCCUGGAACUUACGUCUCAGUAGGAAGAUGAUCCAAGUCCUUUAAAACACAAUGAUUCUCAGGCACAUGGUGAUACAGCUCAUCCGUCAUUUUUGUAAUUAAACAGUGGCUGGCAUUUGUUUCAGAAUUAUCUUCUAAUCUGAAACAUAGAAAAUAUUUAAAGAUACAUGACAAUUAAAAUGCCCACAUUAGGGCCCAUGCACAAUAAUGGUUAAUGGUUCACUGAGCAGCAACCUGACUGUGAAUCUUAGUUUCCCCAAAUAUAAAAUGUAAAAAGCCACCAUCACGGGAUAGUGGAGAAAGAAACGAUGCCCCAUGCGAAAAGCAAAGUCCAAUGAUGACUGAUGACGAGACAAUGAACAACCUGCGUAUUCCUCCUGCUGAACAAGUAUGUCUGCUGUUGUCUACGAUUCCAGAAUGCAUGUCUCCAUCCCCACUUCUCUCCUGAGCUUCAGACCCAUCUUUCUUUCUGCCUACUCAGUAGUUCUCAUGGACGCCAUUGUCUACCCACAAAACCUGCCCCUCGUUCCAUGUUCAGUCUCCACCAGGGCCCCAGGCCAGCUGGAAGAUUGCAUUCAGCAUCACUUGCAGCUCCUCACAGCCACCAAGGCCCAGAAAUUCCUCCUUCCCCUUUUAUCUUCCAACAGCCUCGCUAAAGAAGAAAUGCUGCUGAAACUAACAGUACCAGACAAGCUUGAUGUCAGCCAGGCCCCAGGAUGCCACGUACCUGACUGCUUCCCAAGUUCUUUCGACACCUGCCAUUGAGAGGGAGGACCCCACCAAAUCUGCACGAGCUCUGAUGACUGGCCUGGAACCAGCAGAACACAGCAGGUGUGAAGAUGCUGCGUGUUAUGCAAAGCCAUGUGAGAGGCGCAGGUGCCUCUCCAGUUCAGGCCGCGCUCGGGGUGCAGCCACUGUCACCUUGAGACUGUCCCUGCAGGACCCCCAUGAAGCCUCCGGCCAACUUCCAGUCUUCUCAGACGCAACAUCCACGAAGCCCUGGGGGACCACAGCCGUCCACACCCAGGCCAGGCCACAGGACAGAUCCCUUGGCAGAUGCUCCCCAUUUCUAACCCACUAGCACAUGAACAAGUCAAACGGUGGCUGCUGACACCACGGAGCGUGAGUGGUCUCAACAGCAGGAAUAACCGAAGCCCAGGAUGCAAAGCUGCCUGAAUACCUGUGAGAUGCCAGGAGGGGGACAGGAAGUGGUAAGGACCCAAAUAGCCACCGUGGGGCGCAGGAGAGGAUGGUCUGGAGCCUCAGCAGCUCUGGUUGGAAGACAAAGCCUGCCUUCUUGAAGCUCCUCUUCCUUCCUAAGUCUUCCCUCCUCCCUACCUGCCCACCUCUACCUUCCUAAGGGCUUGCGCUUGGAAAGCAUGGCAAUCCCCACUGGUAAAGCUGAUCUGCGGCGCCAAUGGGGAAUGGCAUCCGACCAGUGCAGCCCGAUGCUCUGCCUCCAAGCCACACCUCCAGGAGGCUGUUUUCCCAACUUCACUGCUGACAACCCCCUUCUGACAGUAUUUUCCUUAAGGCAUUCUCAAGGAGGCCUCCGACUUCUCAAGGCACCAUUUCUUUAAAGCGCCUUUGCAAAUCUCUCCUGACCCGCUGUGUGUUGAUUUUACAGCUUCCUUUUAGAGGUAGUCUCAUUUGUGAAUUUUCACCUGCACAGCUGUCACGAUGCUUAUAUUCUUGGGGACUGUCUUUUUCAUCCCCUUGCACUACCCUUGUAUCCUCCCGUAUGUAGAAUAAAACACCUUCACUGAUUGCCAAAUUGGAACUUCCUGGCAGAAAUGCUUAAAAAAUUGUUUGUUUCAGUAAGUUAACAAAAGCUAGUCCGUGUAGGAGAAGAAAAACUGACAUUACUCACCACUGACAAAUAAAAACUGCUCCCAGCUCUGCGUUACUGCCUACAGCAAUAAAAGCCUGGCACGGGAUUCAGCAAAAACACUUCCCGGUGCUCAUCCAUUUAACACUAAAAACCUCAGUGCCAUCAGCACUGCAUUACUUUCAACAGCGAGACACGGAACUUGAGGCUCAGAAGACUAAGCAACCAGGCCAGGGCCACAGCAAGCACCAUGCUGGCUAGAAAGCUGGAUCUGCCCAACUCAAAGUCUGACUCAGCAGUCAAACUGCACCCUUCCAGCAUCUCUGCAAAAGACAGGUGGUUUCAGAGACGUACACACCCCUCCCAGCACCCUGCAUUCGGCAUACCUGUUUUUUUAGGCUGAAAAACCGGAUGGCAGCGAGAACCUUCUUCAAGACUAAUCAACAAUUCUACUGCUGCUUUUUCCUAGUUUAGAGAAAACAGUGGCUACUAUCGUGUUUGGGUAGACUUAGUUUUCUUCUAUUGAACUGUAGGCCAAUUAGAGUCCCCAUUUCUCAUUAUCUUUCUUCAAACAAUUUUUUGCAGCUAGAAAAGCAAACGCUUCACUAAAGUAGGUUUCACAUGGCAAGGAAAUCACAGCAAAUAAAAUGAUUUUAAAUGGAGGCCAUUAACAAUAAUAGAUCACAAAUGCCACACCCACCCUCUGUGCACAAAACUGGAGAUGAA